rnacentral:rRNA from 1 species
AUGCAGUCGAGCGACGCAUACCGGAGGGGUAACCCACUGGUAUGACGGAGCGGCGAACGGGUGAGUAACACGUGAGUAACCUGCCCCACAGACCGGGACAGCCCAGGGAAACCUGGAUUAAUACCGGAUACCCUCGAAGGAUCGCAUGAUCUUUCGAGGAAAUGCCUUUGUGCUGUGGGAUGGGCUCGCGACUUAUCAGCUAGUUGGUGGGGUAACGGCCUACCAAGGCGUCGACGAGUAGCUGGUCUGAGAGGACGAUCAGCCACACUGGGACUGAGACACGGCCCAGACUCCUACGGGAGGCAGCAGCAGGGAAUCUUGCGCAAUGGGCGAAAGCCUGACGCAGCAACGCCGCGUGGGGGAUGAAGGCCUUCGGGUUGUAAACCCCUUUCAGGAGGGAAGAAAUUGACGGUACCUCCAAAAGAAGCACCGGCCAACUACGUGCCAGCAGCCGCGGUAAUACGUAGGGUGCGAGCGUUAUCCGGAAUCAUUGGGCGUAAAGAGCUCGUAGGCGGUUCAGUAAGUCGGCUGUGAAAUUUCGAGGCUCAACCUCGAAACUGCAGUCGAAACUGCUGUGACUCGAGUCCGGUAGAGGAGAAUGGAAUUCCCGGUGUAGCG